CGCUGGCGGCAGGCCUAACACAUGCAAGUCGAGCGGAUGAAGGGAGCUUGCUCCUGGAUUCAGCGGCGGACGGGUGAGUAAUGCCUAGGAAUCUGCCUGGUAGUGGGGGAUAACGUUUCGAAAGGAACGCUAAUACCGCAUACGUCCUACGGGAGAAAGCAGGGGACCUUCGGGCCUUGCGCUAUCAGAUGAGCCUAGGUCGGAUUAGCUAGUUGGUGAGGUAAUGGCUCACCAAGGCGACGAUCCGUAACUGGUCUGAGAGGAUGAUCAGUCACACUGGAACUGAGACACGGUCCAGACUCCUACGGGAGGCAGCAGUGGGGAAUAUUGGACAAUGGGCGAAAGCCUGAUCCAGCCAUGCCGCGUGUGUGAAGAAGGUCUUCGGAUUGUAAAGCACUUUAAGUUGGGAGGAAGGGUUGUAGAUUAAUACUCUGCAAUUUUGACGUUACCGACAGAAUAAGCACCGGCU
rnacentral:rRNA from 1 species